UACGAAGGGGGCUAGCGUUGCUCGGAAUCACUGGGCGUAAAGCGCACGUAGGCGGACUCUUAAGUCAGGGGUGAAAUCCUGGAGCUCAACUCCAGAACUGCCUUUGAUACUGGGAGUCUUGAGUUCGGGAGAGGUGAGUGGAACUGCGAGUGUAGAGGUGAAAUUCGUAGAUAUUCGCAAGAACACCAGUGGCGAAGGCGGCUCACUGGCCCGAUACUGACGCCGAGGUGCGAAAGCGUGGGGAGCAAACAGG
rnacentral:rRNA from 1 species